GCAGACACAUUCCAGCCAAUCAGCAGCAGACCCUCCCUCCCAGACCCUCCCACCUCCUGAACAGCAUCCAUUGUGAAGCUGCAUUCUUAGUGAGCUGUCCAGGAGGUGGGAGGGUCUGGGAGAGAGGGUCUGCUGCUGAUUGGCUGGAAUGUGUCUG
rnacentral:miRNA from 1 species